ACACUCGUCAGAACAUAGUGCACCCAGAGAAAGUAAUUUGCACGCAUCAUGGCGUUUUACGCUAGCGCUGCCCGUUUCAUGGUGCUUCUUCUGUUCAUCGUCUCCGCGAUGAUCAUGAGCAGCCCUGUCUGCCAUGGAGGCCGAGUUGGACCAGGAGGUCCAUCACCAGGACUAAAACCCAGUGAUGCUGUGGACUCAUCGACCGAUGUUUACUACCCCCGUCCGAUAUGUCGCCGAAAGGGAUGCCCAGUCCUACCGCCGAGUGGCGCACCUGCACCGCCUUCCCCCAACAAUUGAACCGAUCGUUGGACGUCUUGAUGCCUGCAUGCCCACUGCUUGUACAAUUAAAUCCACGAUCUUAUUAAACCGAUAGUACAAUAAUAUCUUCUCGUCUACUUCCAUUUCAUUUAGUAUUAGUACGCUGAAUAAAUCUUAAGUAUGGGUCUGUAGCCUGAUGUGAAUGUUUGUGUAAACGUGGAACUUCGGUUCAAAACUAAUAAAGAUGGACAGUGAGUUAGGACACUAUGUUUAGUCUUGCUCCUCACUGGUUCAUUGAGCACUCAA